CCCUUAGAUGUCCUGGGCCGCACGCGCGCUACACUGAUGCAUUCAACGAGUUUUUCCUUGGCCGAGAGGCCUGGGCAAUCUUUUGAACGUGCAUCGUGAUAGGGAUAGAUUAUUGCAAUUAUUAAUCUUGAACGAGGAAUUCCUAGUAAACGCAGAUCAUCAGUCUGCAUUGAUUACGUCCCUGCCCUUUGUACACACCGCCCGCCGCUCCUACCGAUUGAAUGGUCCGGUGAAGCGUUCGGACCGUGGCCUUUGGACGGUUCGCCGUCUGUUGGCUGCGGGAAGUUCGUUAAACCUUAUCAUUUAGAGGAAGGAGAANUCGUAACA
rnacentral:rRNA from 1 species